UACGUAGGGGGCAAGCGUUGUCCGGAAUCAUUGGGCGUAAAGCGCGCGUAGGCGGCCAGACAAGUCCGGUGUGAAAGUCACAGGCUCAACCUGUGAAUGCCGCUGGAAACUGUCUGGCUAGAGUCCGGAAGGGGCGAGUGGAAUUCCUGGUGUAGCGGUGAAAUGCGCAGAUAUCAGGAGGAACGCCUAUGGCGAAGGCAGCUCGCUGGGACGGUACUGACGCUGAGGCGCGAAAGCGUGGGGAGCGAACAGG
rnacentral:rRNA from 1 species